UGAUGUUUCAUGUUAAUAGUGUUAGACUGGCUGACAUCAGCAAUUUUGAAGGCUUGUUUUUCAGGCCUGCAAAUGAUAUAAGAUUGGACACCAACAGGACAUUUUGCAUCAGUGUGGCAGCGAUCCCUUUACAACGUGGACAGGCUCAAGGCCCAGGCGUGGUGGACUAAGGAAACUGGGUAAACAGAUCUUGUAAAGACUCUGGAGAGAAACUGGAAGAUGAUUCAAGAUGAAGCCCUGGGUGUGAUGGACACUGAGAUCUCAUUAUACCAGAGGAUGAAAACUUGAGAGAGAAAGGAGAGUGGGGUCAAUUCAUGCUUUGGCAACAAGAUCCAGGGAAGAAAGGAAACUUCUCAUCUUCGACAAUUCAUUUGAACGUGUAGUUUUGCAAGACACUGGCGGCUACAGACUGCUCUUCGUUGUGGACAUUUGGCACCCAGAACUGACUCCCCACCAGAGACGGACCAUUUAUCCAAUCUAAAAUGUGGGAUUUUCACAUAUCUCUCCCCAGCACUCUUCCAUGUACAAACACAGCUGUUUUUCAUAGUAAUAAUAUAUGAACACAUUGGCACAUUUUUAAGUACAACAGCCAAGCCAGCUCACACAGUAUCUGAAACUAAAGUGAGUGAUCUUAGGCCACAAAAGCACAAUCAAAGAAUAAAACAGAAAGAUGAUGAGACACUGAAGAGACAUCAUUGCAGAUACUGAUGUGUAUCAAUAGAUGCCUUUAAUACUGAAGGUGGUCAUCUUGCUGGCUAUAAUUAUUUGUAAAUGCUUUAAAAUGUGCUGGUACUGUACAUUGUCUUAAAAAAAAAAAAAAAAAAAAAGAACUCAUCCCAAUCCUCCACAAGGAAUUCACGCUUGUAAAUAAUACAGUAUCCUCAUAAUUCACUUGAAUGAAAAUGUCUCUGCGUCUAAACCAGAAAGUGUUACAAUGUACAGUUAACACGAUAUUAAAAUGUGCUUCCUAAAAUGUGACCUUGCCUGAUUACUGAAGACUUCAUAUAAUCUUACAC